UACGGAGGGAGCUAGCGUUGUUCGGAAUUACUGGGCGUAAAGCGCACGUAGGCGGCUUUGUAAGUUAGAGGUGAAAGCCCGGGGCUCAACCCCGGAAUUGCCUUUAAGACUGCAUCGCUUGAAUCCGGGAGGGGUGAGUGGAAUUCCGAGUGUAGAGGUGAAAUUCGUAGAUAUUCGGAAGAACACCAGUGGCGAAGGCGGCUCACUGGACCGGCAUUGACGCUGAGGUGCGAAAGCGUGGGGAGCAAACAGG
rnacentral:rRNA from 1 species